GUCGAGCGCCCCCGCACGGGGGAGCGGCGGACGGUUGAGUAACGCGUGGGAAUUUUCCUCAAGGUACGGAACAACUCAGGGAAACUUGGGCUAAUACCGUCUGAUGCAGAGAUGCCAAAGAUUUAUCGCCUUGGGAUAAGCCCGCGUCAGAUUAGGUAGUUGGUGGGGUAACGGCCUACCAAGCCUGCGAUCUGUAGCUGGUCUGAGAGGACGAUCAGCCACACUGGGACUGAGACACGGCCCAGACUCCUACGGGAGGCAGCAGUGGGGAAUCUUGCGCAAUGGGCGAAAGCCUGACGCAGCCAUGCCGCGUGAAUGAUGAAGGUCUUAGGAUUGUAAGGUUCUUUCGCUCGUGACGAUGAUGACGGUAACGAGAGAAGAAGCCCCGGCUAACUUCGUGCCAGCAGCCGCGGUAAUACGAAGGGGGCUAGCGUUGUUCGGAAUUACUGGGCGUAAAGCGCGCGUAGGCGGUUUUGCAAGCCAGAGGUGAAAUGCCUGAGCUCAACUUAGGAAUUGCCUUUGGGACUGCGAGGCUUUGAGGACGAGAGAGGUGAGUGGAAUUCCCAGUGUAGAGGUGAAAUUCGUAGAUAUUGGGAAGAACACCGGUGGCGAAGGCGGCUCACUGGCUCGUCUCCGAAGCGGGAGCGCGACCGCCUGGUGAUCAAACAGGCUUAGAUACCCAGCAGUCC
rnacentral:rRNA from 1 species